GAGGAAUCUUGCGCAAUGGGGGAAACCCUGACGCAGCAACGCCGCGUGAGUGAGGAAGGUCUUCGGAUCGUAAAGCUCUGUCAGUUGGAAAGAAAUGUCUGAGAGUCAAUACCUUUCAGGCUUGACGGUACCAACAGAGGAAGCACCGGCUAACUCCGUGCCAGCAGCCGCAGUAAUACGGGGGGUGCAAGCGUUGUUCGGAAUUAUUGGGCGUAAAGAGCGUGUAGGCGGCCGGAUAUGUCAGAUGUGAAAGCCCCGGGCUUAACCCGGGAAGUGCAUUUGAAACUGUCCGGCUCGAGUAGGGGAGAGGGAAGUGGAAUUCCUGGUGUAGAGGUGAAAUUCGUAGAUAUUAGGAGGAACACCGGUGGCGAAGGCGACUUCCUGGCCCUAUACUGACGCUGAGACGCGAGAGCGUGGGUAGCAAACAG
rnacentral:rRNA from 1 species